AUGAAGAGAGUGUCAUCGCAUGUCUCCAUUGCCUCAGAGGCAGAGAUCAAUCUUGACCUCUCACGGUUACUAAUUGACAAGCCAAGGUUCACACUGGAGCGCAAGAGGUCAUUUGAUGAACAGUCAUGGAGUGACCUCUCGCAUCGGCACAAUGACGGCUUUGAUAGUGUGGCGCAUUCGCCUGCAUUCCGCACCGGUUUUGAGUCACCAUUCUCAACGGGCUCACACUUCGGUGAGCCAAGUGGACCACACCCCCUUGUGAAUGAGGCAUGGGAGGCACUCAGGAAAUCUGUUGUGUAUUUUCGUGGCCAACCUGUGGGUACCGUUGCUGCGGUAGAUCACGCAUCAGAGGAGGUGCUCAAUUAUGAUCAGGUUUUUGUGCGGGAUUUUGUUCCUAGUGCAUUGGCUUUCCUAAUGAACAACGAACCUGAAAUAGUGAAGAACUUCCUCUUGAGAACUGUCCACUUGCAAAGCUCGGAAAAAAUGGUAGACCGGUUCAAGCUUGGAGCAGGAGCAAUGCCUGCAAGUUUCAAGGUGGACCGUAAUGUGAACAGGAACACUGAAACAUUAGUUGCAGAUUUUGGUGAGAGCGCAAUUGGCAGGGUGGCACCAGUGGACUCUGGAUUUUGGUGGAUUAUUCUCCUCCGGGCGUAUACAAAAUAUACUGGAGAUGCUAGUUUAUCAGAAUCACCUGAUUGUCAGAAGUGCAUGCGGCUUAUACUGAAUCUUUGCUUAUCUGAGGGAUUCGAUACUUUCCCAACUCUGCUCUGCACUGAUGGUUGCUCAAUGAUUGAUCGUCGAAUGGGUAUAUACGGUUAUCCUAUUGAGAUCCAAGCUCUCUUCUACAUGGCAUUAAGAUGUGCCCUCCAAAUGCUUAAGCCGGAUGGUGAAGGGAAGGACUUCAUAGAGAAGAUAGGGCAACGACUGCAUGCAUUAACCUACCACAUGAGAAAUUACUUCUGGCUUGAUUUUCCACAUCUAAAUAACAUAUAUAGAUACAAAACAGAAGAAUACUCCCACACCGCUGUGAACAAAUUCAAUGUCAUUCCGGAUUCAAUCCCUGAUUGGGUGUUUGAUUUCAUGCCUUGUCGGGGAGGCUACUUCCUUGGCAACGUCAGCCCUGCUAUGAUGGACUUCAGGUGGUUUGCUCUUGGAAACUGUAUUGCCAUUAUAUCAUCUCUAGCUACUCCGGAGCAGUCAUCGGCAAUAAUGGAUCUCAUCGAGGAGAGAUGGGAUGAGCUAGUGGGCGAGGUGCCUCUGAAGAUAGUAUAUCCUGCACUUGAGAACCAUGAAUGGAGAAUAAUUACUGGCUGCGACCCCAAGAAUACUAGGUGGAGUUAUCAUAAUGGAGGAUCUUGGCCAGUUCUUCUAUGGCUGCUGACAGCAGCCUGCAUCAAGACUGGGCGGCCACAAAUGGCGAAGCGUGCCAUCGAGCUCUCCGAGGCAAGGCUCCUCAAGGACGGCUGGCCCGAGUACUACGACGGCAAGCUGGGGAAGUUCGUCGGCAAGCAGGCCAGGAAGUUCCAGACAUGGUCCAUCGCUGGCUACCUAGUCGCGAGGAUGAUGCUGGAGGACCCAUCCACGCUCAUGAUGAUCUCCAUGGAGGAGGACCGGCCUGUGAAGCCGACAAUGAGGCGGUCGGCGUCAUGGAAUGCUUGA
rnacentral:rRNA from 1 species